UAGGGUGGUUAUAGCAUUGGGGCUCACCUCUUCCCAUCUCGAACAGAGAAGUUAAGCCCAAUUGCGCCGAUGGUACUGCAUUUAUGUGGGAGAGUAGGUCGCCGCCUUUC
rfam:Polaribacter irgensii 23-P scf_1099646005584 genomic scaffold, whole genome shotgun sequence.